UACGUAGGGUGCAAGCGUUGUCCGGAAUUAUUGGGCGUAAAGAGCUCGUAGGCGGUUUGUCGCGUCGAAUGUGAAAACCCGGGGCUCAACCCCGGGCCUGCAUUCGAUACGGGCAGACUAGAGUUCGGUAGGGGAGUCUGGAAUUCCUGGUGUAGCGGUGAAAUGCGCAGAUAUCAGGAGGAACACCAGCGGCGAAGGCGGCGCUCUGGGCCGGUACUGACGCUAGGAG
rnacentral:rRNA from 1 species